AUUGAACGCUGGCGGCAUGCCUUACACAUGCAAGUCGAACGGCAGCACGGGAGCAAUCCUGGUGGCGAGUGGCGAACGGGUGAGUAAAGUAUCGGAACGUGCCCAGUCGUGGGGGAUAACGUAGCGAAAGUUACGCUAAUACCGCAUACGAUCUAUGGAUGAAAGCGGGGGAUCGCAAGACCUCGCGCGAUUGGAGCGGCCGAUAUCAGAUUAGGUAGUUGGUGGGGUAAAGGCUCACCAAGCCGACGCUCUGUAGCUGGUCUGAGAGGACGACCGACUCCACUGGCACUGCGACACGGCCCAGACUCCUCCGGUAGGCAGCUGUGGGGAAUUUUGGACAAUGAGAGAAAGCCUGUUCCAGCCAUGCUUCGUGCAGGAUGAAGGCCUUCGGGUUGUAACCUGCUUUUGUACGGAACGAAAAGGUUUGGCAUAAUAAGCGGAGCUCUUGAAGGUACCGGAAGAAUAAGCACCGGCUAACUUCGUCCCAGCCGCCGCCGCCG
rnacentral:rRNA from 1 species